UAGCAUAAUAAUUAGUUUUUUAAUUAAGAACUGGAAUGAAGGGUCCUACGAGAAAAAGACUGUCUCAAUUUAAUUUGAUUAGAAUUUUAUUUUUAAGUAAAAAAGCUUAAAUAAUUUUAAAAGACGAGAAGACCCUAUAGAGUUUUAUAUUUAAUAUUUAUUUUAAAAUUAAAGUAUUAUAUAAUUAAUCUAAAUAUAAAGUAUUUGGUUGGGGUGACUAAAAAAUUUAAUAAACUUUUUUUAUUUUAAAAAUCAUUGAUUUAUGAAUAAUUGAGCCAUUUAUAUAUGAUUAAAAGAUUAAAUUACCUUAGGGAUAACAGCGUAAUUUUUUUUGA
rnacentral:rRNA from 1 species